rnacentral:rRNA from 1 species
GUUUGAUCCUGGCUCAGGACGAACGCUGGCGGCGUGCUUAACACAUGCAAGUCGAACGGUGAACCCUCUUCGGAGGGGGAUCAGUGGCGAACGGGUGAGUAACACGUGAGCAACCUGCCCCCAACUCUGGGAUAACUCCGGGAAACCGGAGCUAAUACCGGAUAUGAAGCACUCGGGCAUCCGAUGUGCUUGGAAAGAUUUUAUCGGUUGGGGAUGGGCUCGCGGCCUAUCAGCUUGUUGGUGGGGUAACGGCCCACCAAGGCGACGACGGGUAGCCGGCCUGAGAGGGCGACCGGCCACACUGGGACUGAGACACGGCCCAGACUCCUACGGGAGGCAGCAGUGGGGAAUAUUGCGCAAUGGGCGAAAGCCUGACGCAGCGACGCCGCGUGAGGGACGAAGGCCUCGGUU